rnacentral:rRNA from 1 species
ACCUACGGGAGGCAGCAGUAGGGAAUCUUCCACAAUGGAAGAAAGUCUGAUGGAGCAACGCCGCGUGAGUGAAGAAGGGUUUCGGCUCGUAAAGCUCUGUUGGUAGUGAAGAAAGAUAGAGGUAGUAAAUGGCCUUUAUUUGACGGUAAUUACUUAGAAAGUCACGGCUAAAUACGUGCCAGCAGCCGCGGGAAUACGUAGGUGGGAAGCGUUUUCCGGAUUUAUUGGGCGUAAAGCGAGUGCAGGCGGGU